GUUUAGGAUUGUAAUUUGUUUUGUUUGUGUAAACGUCAUAUCCGUUGUUGCCUGGUUACUUCGUGACGUUAUCAUUGUGUGCCAUAUUGUCACAUCCCAACCCAUAGCGAUAGUCUCAUUUACUUAUUUCAUUUGUUUAUAUUAUUUUAAAUUAUUUAUUUUUAUUAAUUUAAUUAGAUCUGUAUUUUUUUUUUCACUUAAUGAUAGAAAGUGCGGGUAGGAUUCUUUUACUGUGAAUCAGACUAAAAUAAUUUUAGUUUGAGCGGUUAAAAUCAAAUAUGAUUUUGCCAUGAGAAUAAUGCCGAAACUGGCUAUGUAGUCAAACACUGUCGUCUGGCUAAAUAUAGAUCUACAAAUUUUGUACAUCUCUUUGGUACAUUUGAUUAUCUAGACUCUAAUUUGAAAUAUUAUGAAUUGAAAAAUGAAUGAAGAUUACUACCAGUGAAGAACAUUUGUGAGUGUAUGACGUGCCCAUAAGAUGCCACAUUUUCCUCCAUAAUGAACUGUGUACUAAUGAAGAUGAUUCUGGAAUGUUAUGAUGAACUGUGUACUAAUGAAGAUGAUUCUGGAAUGUUAUGAACAUUGACAUUGAAUAUGAGGAACUGUCAAGUUAGGAUGAAGAUGUCAAGAUGAAGAUGUCAAGAUUU